rnacentral:rRNA from 1 species
AACGAACGCUGGCGGCAUGCCUAACACAUGCAAGUCGAACGAGACCUUCGGGUCUAGUGGCGCACGGGUGCGUAACGCGUGGGAACCUGCCCUUAGGUUCGGAAUAACUCCCCGAAAGGGGUGCUAAUACCGGAUAAUGUCUUCGGACCAAAGAUUUAUCGCCUUUGGAUGGGCCCGCGUUGGAUUAGCUAGUUGGUAGGGUAAAAGCCUACCAAGGCGACGAUCCAUAGCUGGUCGGAGAGGAUGAUCAGCCACACUGGGACUGAGACACGGCCCAGACUCCUACGGGAGGCAGCAGUGGGGAAUAUUGGACAGUGGGCGAAAGCCUGAUCCAGCAAUGCCGCGUGAGUGAUGAAGGCCUUAGGGUUGUAAAGCUCUUUUACCCGGGAUGAUAAUGACAGUACCGGGAGAAUAAGCUCCGGCUAACUCCGUG